rnacentral:rRNA from 1 species
CAAUAGCGUAUAUUAAAGUUGUUGCAGUUAAAAAGCUCGUAGUUGGAUUUCUGAUCGAGACAUCAGGUCGGGUCCGAGAGGAUCAUGUACUUUGAUUUUGUUUUGAUCAUCCUUGGGGAGAGCAUUUCUGGCAUUCAGCUGUCGGGAUUGGGAUCCUCAUCGUUUACUGUGAAAAAAUUAGAGUGUUCAAAGCAGGCCUCGGCCUCUGAAUACAUUAGCAUGGAAUAAUAAGAUAGGACUUUGGUGGUCUAUUUUGUUGGUUUGCACGCCAAAGUAAUGAUUAAUAGGGAUAGUUGGGGGUAUUCGUAUUCAAUUGUCAGAGGUGAAAUUCUUGGAUUUAUGGAAGACGAACUACUGCGAAAGCAUUUACCAAGGAUGUUUUCAUUAA